GAGCUCACUUCGGCAGCACAUAUGCUAAAAUUGGAACGAUACAGAGAAGAUUAGCAUGGCCCCUGCACAAGGAUGACAUGCAAAUUCGUGAAGCAUUCCAUAUUUUU
rnacentral:snRNA from 1 species